AUGCUUGCUGUGACCAAUGAAGUUUCAAGUAUCUGGUUGAGACUACCACACAAUUAUUUUCUAGUAUUGGGCCUCAACUGUAAAUGGGGAAAAAAAUUUAGUCUCUUAUCCAUUCAUUUCUCUUCUGGGGGAUUGAAAAUAGAAACCCACUCCCAAUCCCAGUGUCCAGCCAUGGUCCUCAACCUGACAAUCUGUCUCUUGUCUUUCCAGCCAACGAUUUGUUACUUAUUAUAAUGCAUUUUGCAAUGCCACAAUGUUGUCUGAUUGGUUGCUCUCUUUUCUCCCUUUGGCUUUUUUAGUUCCUUAUUGCAUAUCUGAAAAGAGAUCCCAUAUUGGAUCCCAUUUUUAUUUGAUUUAAUGCUGUCAAUUUAUAUUUUUAAAUAAUGUAUUUUCCCAAAUUCCCACUUUUCCCAAACCACAUGCUCUUCUACUUACACUCCUCUUAUAUUUCAGUUGCAAAAAAAUCUCCUCUUUCAGUCUGUGCCACAAAAAUAUUUCUAUCUUCUUGUGUAUUUUGUCACUUGCCCAAGGUAUUGUAAUUGGAUUAGAAAAACUCAUCUUCAUACAUCCUUUUUAUGUGUUCUGUGCACUUACAAUUUUCUGUAAACAAAAAUAAUAAAUAACAGGUGGAUAGCUAAAUAUAUAACUCAGGGGAAUCAAGCAUUGCAAAGAGGAGGAGAAGGCUAUGUCAGACACACUCUUUAUGUACCGAGUAUUGCUGUAUAACCGAGUCAAGCAAAAGUGUUCCUCAGCUGUGACUUUUCAUAGACUAAAGUCUUGUGGUUGUUAGGAAGUACAAAAUAAACAUUUCUACGUAUCAACUACAUUAUUUUCCUCAAAAAUGCAUUGCCAUAGGCGUUCCUAGUAACCAUGCCUUACAACUUAACAGGUAAACAUUGAACGUCUGUUCUUAUUCGUAUGUCUUUCUUGAUAGGUAGAGACAGUUGUGUCAGAUGAGGGCGGUGAAACUGUGGGGGUGAGAAGUGAAAGCAAACCCUGAGGCUCUAAGUAGCCCAUCACUAUCCAGCUGCAUCAUUUUCCUCUCCCAAAGUCCUGAUUUCCAGCAGAGAAGGGUGAAAAGAGGGUGGGACAAGGACACUCGUGGGCCUGAAAAGAUCUCUUCCAGAUUGGGACCCAUUGUAUGCUAGUGUCUUAGAAAUAGCCACAGUGAGAAGAUUGCCAAGGUCAAAGUUGGUAAUCCAGAUUAGACAAAUGCAGCACUGGCCUAGGACCCCGAGACUAGGCCAAAGUGCUCUAAAAGACUGCUGUAACAAACUACAAGAUCGAACAGCAACUUAAGGGAGGAAGGGCUUCUUUUGGCUCCCAGUUAAAGGACACACAGCAAAUCAAAGAAAUCAUGGUUUGGUAGGCAUGGCUACCAGGAACAAGAGGCUGGCUGGUCAUACUGCAUCUGUAGUAAAGAAUCAGAAAAUGAAUAGGAAGUAGAAACAGGGACAAAAAUUCCUCAAACUCAUGCUUGCGGUGGCAUAAUUUUUUCAGUAUGCCUUAACAUUCUGCAACUUUCUCAAGCAGUGCCACCAGCCAACAGGCAACUAUGGAGAGACUUGUUUGUGGGCACAGCUGUAGUAUCUUCUUGUUGUGGAAGUAGUGAGCUUGCCUUUGAAAGCCCUAGUAUGAUAAUUAAGACUUUUGAAAUUAAUCUUCCAUUGCCAUCUCACAGUGACUAUGCUAACAAUUUAGUUAUCACAAGUGACAGUGGGUUUCUCUGGCAAAAUUAGGUGGCUUGCAUAUAUAGCUACAUGUAGAUACAUCAGCACCUGGUCAAACAAGGCCACUGCUCAGGUGCCUGACUACAGGCAUUGGGGCACAUAUCAAUGAAUUUCAGACCUAAGAAGUUGACAGUUUUGCCUUUGAAAAAACUAUAUGAAGAAAUGUAAAUAUGAAGGUAUAGUCAGCAGUGGUGUUGAUGCUGGCUCUGAGACCUGAGGCUCAAACCUCAAGUCUACUCUUACUAGCUUUAGUUUAGCUACAGCCUUCUAUUUUAAAAGUAUAUUAAGGAUGCUAUGCAGAUGGUGACAAGCCCUCACAUAAAACGGUAGGAAGAAAUAUACUUAUAGUGAAAUAACAUGUAUCAUUUAUAUUAAUAAAUAUAAUAUUUGGAAAUAUAUAUUGAGAAUAAUUUAUAUUGGGAAUAAUAACUACGAAAGUUAAUGUAUCUUUCUGUUCCUAGAGUAUUUUCUUUUUCCGUGUAAUUAUGACACGUUCUUUUGAUGAUAGUAAUAAUUUUAUUUAAAACAUUUUGGGAAAACGUCACAUUGUAUGAAAUCUACCCUACAGGAUUGCUCAUUAUAGGUAUUGUAUUGUAAGCAGACUUUUAGAAUCUUCUCAUCUUGCCUUAAUUGAAAGUCUGUACUCUCUAAACAACUCCCACUUGCUCCUUCUCCCCAACUGGCAACUGCCUUCCUCUGUACCCUUCCAUGGGUUUGAUUGCUUUUUAUUCCUAAUGGGAAGCAAGACUGAGGUUCUUCAAAAACCGACUGAAUGAAUAAAUGAAUGAAUGAAUGAAUGAACCAAAAGAUCUACAAGAAAUAGAAUGAAAAAGGGUCGAGAAGAGAAACUCAGAUGUGGGUGUGUUUUGCUGAGGAAUUGAACUUCACCUUUGGGUGACACAUUUUUUUUUUAUAGACUAGAAAAAUUGUCCAUAGUUUACUUUUAAUGUUCACAUAAUUCCUGCUAAAAUGAUUCAUAUGUGUCUUUGAUGUACUGCUACCAGCACAGACAAUCUAAUCUAUUCUCUAUGGAAAAUAAUCCUUAUUACUUCAUAACCUAAUCCGUAUUUGCAUUGCAUUUCAUUGAAGAAGUGCAAGGUGAGUAAAACUCAGGUUUUUACAGCAGGUUUUAGCUUCCUGGGUACUCCUUUUACGAAAACUGAAUGUAUACACUUAGCCUAGAAAAAUCGGCAUGGCUGUUUUUGAAGCCAUAAUCUUAAUUCAGUUUGUAUGCCUGCCCAUUGUGUAAAUAUGAAUUUUUAAGCAAUUUAACAUUGCAUCAGAGUACCAGGGCCCUCGAUUCUCAUUCAUCCAUAUGAAAACAAUUAGGGAAAAAAAUGCCACUUAUCUUAAACUGUAUUUGUCAGAUUUUCUUCAUCAAACUUGGUAAGUACAGAUCUCUUGACACUCUGAUGAAUUUUCAUCGCUCCGUGGUAAACCUAAGUGACUAGGCUGUGGCCCGUGAAGAGCUUUUGUUUCUGUGUGACAUUAAAUGUUUUCUUUUUUUAAAAAGAAACAUGAUUAUAAUGAAUAUUCAAAAUGAGAUCCAUCCUCUGGCAUGUACGGCUUGGGUCAGAAGUCGUGGUUAGAGAAGAACACUUACUAGUGAAGCUCAAGGCUUUAUUAUUUCUUAUAAAUUCCCUUUUUCCCCUCAUGCUUCAGAGAUCUAACUAUCAAAGAUGAAAGCUAGCUAAGCAUAUACCCUCUUCAGUUUACCUCAGCAGCUUCGAAAAAUGUGUUUUCUAUGUAGUUAAUUUAAAAGUUAGUGUAUCUCCCUAGCUGGAUACUGUCUUUAUUCAAGAUUUCUUAGACCUUAUGUUUAAGACAGCUUGAAACAGAUGUUAUAAAUGAAGAAUAAUCAGUCACCAUAGUUCCGAGAAUUUCUUCAAAUACUCUUCAUUUUCUGGUUCCAGCAGAAUUGUAUUUACUCAAAUAUAAAUCCCUUUUUUGUUUAAUACUCUAGAGCCUCAUCCCCAACAAAACACAUUUUAGUACAAUUGUUUUUAUAACCUGUCACUGGUUGAUGAUGAUAAAUGGAAAGUGAUUAAGUAUAUUGUUUGUCAGAUUUCUUCUUUUGCAAGCCAAUAAAUAUUCCCAGAGUCCUGGCUUGUCACCUUGCUUACAAUGAUUAUCAAACAGAAAAGACUUGAAAUCUAUGAGGAAAACUGGUGUUUAUCUUGGAUGUAUUUUUUUCCUCUAAAGAUAUAAAAUAUGAAUUGAAACUUUGGUACUUACAAGACAAAAUAAUUAUCUAGAGAUAUUAAGUCAUUUGUUUCUUGUAUAGGUUCCAAAAAAACCCUACCAUGGGAUUGUCAUUUUAUGUGAAGACUCUAUCUGUAAUGAACAGUACCUUUGUGUUGAAUAUACUUUCAUGAAUUAAAUAAUUGGCUUCCAUCUAUACUGCUACUGUUCUCAUUAAUGAGAAUGAUGACCGCUGAAAGCCACAAUGAGUGUGAAGUACUGGUCUUCACAUUUCCUGAAAGAACCACCGUCUAUGCUUGUGGCCCUAAAUUACCAAUACUCUUCCUUCAAAUACUAACUUUAUGGUUUAGUUGUCUAUUGGUAAGCUUACUUAUUUCAGAGUGGCCUUAAGAUUCCAUGCAUAUUUAUUAUAUUAAAUAGAAGUCAAGAAAGGCAAGAGAGAAAAUUAACCAAUGAAAAUAGCAUUAGGAAAUGUUUCAACGAAUUCUCUAGAUUUUUAUAACACUUUAUACUUUUUCAAAAUCCAUUUAUUAUCUAAUUUUUUUGUUAUAGUCUUUCUAGUGGACCCAUGUGCAAGCAAUCCAAAAAAAUGUACUUAUAGUCUUUGAUCAACAUCUAUAGUAGAUUUUAAAGCCCAUUU
rnacentral:lncRNA from 1 species